UACAGGGGGUGCAAACGUUGCUCGGAAUCAUUGGGCGUAAAGCGCACGUAGGCGGUUCGUUAUGUCGGAUGUGAAAGCCCUUGGCUUAACCGAGGAAGUGCAUCCGAAACUGGCGAGCUAGAGUACUAAAGAGGAUCGCGGAAUUCCCGGUGUAGAGGUGAAAUUCGUAGAUAUCGGGAAGAACACCCGUGGCGAAGGCGGCUCUCUGGGACGGUACUGACGCUGAGACGCGAAAGCGUGGGGAGCAAACAGG
rnacentral:rRNA from 1 species